ensembl:lncRNA
GUGAGUGUGUAUGUGUGUGUGACAAAUAUACAAAUAUACAAAAAUGAAUAGCCCAUGGGUCUACAUGUAGUUUUGCAAAUGUUUUCACGUUCAGGACUAGGACUAAGACUAGGCUCCAGUUGAGUAGGCUGAGGCUGAGGCUGAGGCUGAGACUGAGGCUGAGGCUGAGUAUGAGGCUGUCAGGGAAAAGACCCUAAACAGUUAGUUAGCAGAUUAAAGACACCACCCAGCAUGGAAGUGAACUGGACUUGUUUACGCCGCGUCCGGCGGAGAGCAGACACCUUGCCCAGGGUCUCUCUGACGUGCCAUGCUAAAACAAAGUCCCUUUAUUGAAAAUCCAAUGUUUACACAGGAUGGCAGACAGGAUUCUGGGAUACACUUAGGAUACCUGCAGUUUAGCUGAAUUUUACUUCUGCCCAGCAACAAGACAUUCCACAAUCCCCCAAUUCCUUCUUAUCUUGCACCUGCUCUCUCCAACAGAGAUUAUACAACACCCAAUUCCUUCUUGCCUUAGGUAAACAUAUACGUGAGGUAUCUGGGUUAACAUUCUUGACUCUGCUAAUUGUCCUCCAAAGUCCAAUCUACAUGGAGAACGCAGGGCACACAGCAUUUUGGAACAAACCUUAAAACAAAAAGACAUUCAUGAUAAAAUAUAAUAAUACUUUCUUUAACAGAGGCUGAGGCUGAGGUUGAGGCUGAGGCUGAGGCUGAGGCUGAGACUGAGGCUGAGACUGAGGCUGAGGCUGAGACUGAGACUGAGCAGGCCGUAGCUGAGGCUGAGGCUGAGACUGAGACUGAGGCUGAGGCUGAGACUGAGCAGGCCGUAGCUGAGGCUGAGGUCGAUGACGGUGUUGCUCCAUAACCCUCCUUCUCCCCGCCGUAUACAAAUCGCACCAAUUAAUAAGACAGCACCCUCACCACAUACAGAGAGUGCACACUAAUAAGACAGCACCCUCACCACCUGCAGAGGGUGCACACUAAUAACACAGCACCCUCACCACUUGCAGAGGGUGCACACUAAUAAGACAAAUGUAC